rnacentral:rRNA from 1 species
GACGAACGCUGGCGGCGUGCUUAACACAUGCAAGUCGAGCGGUAAGGCCCUUUCGGGGGUACACGAGCGGCGAACGGGUGAGUAACACGUGGGUGACCUGCCCUCAGCUCUGGGAUAAGCCUGGGAAACUGGGUCUAAUACUGGAUAUGACUCCACGGUGCAUGUCGUGGGGUGGAAAGCCUUGUGCGGCUGAGGAUGGGCCCGCGGCCUAUCAGCUUGUUGGUGGGGGAUGGCCUACCAAGGCGACGACGGGUAGCCGGCCUGAGAGGGCGACCGGCCACACUGGGACUGAGACACGGCCCAGACUCCUACGGGAGGCAGCAGUGGGGAAUCUUGCGCAAUGGGACGAAAGCCUGACGCAGCGACGCCGCGUGAGGGAUGACGGCCU